CCGGACCACGACCAGCGAGUUGUCUUGUCUGAUAUUGGCGGAAGGUAGCGUUGACUUCGGUGAACGUGUUAUAGCCACCGAUUCGAAGCGAGCGGCGCGUUGGAUUACUCGAUGCCUGCCCUUUGGGCUCGUACGUUGUCCCUUAUUAGGGUGUCGCCGGCUUCACUGCUUCGGCAGGGGAGUUGGAGACGCUUUGGUUCGAGAUGGCCUCUGCGAUUGGCGUCUACAGUCAGUGGUUUCGAAGUAGGCAGUCCACCUGACCCGUCUUGAAACACGGACCAAGGAGUCUAACAUGUGCGCGAGUCAUUGGGCUCUACGAAACCUAAAGGCGCAGUGAAAGUGAAGAUCCAUUUGUUGGAUUGAGGUAGGAUCCUGGGUCACGUGCUCAGGCGCACUACCGGCCCGUCCGAUAUGUCUUCAUACGGGCGGAGCAAGAGCGUACACGUUGGGACCCGAAAGAUGGUGAACUAUGCUUGCGCAGGUCGAAGCCAGAGGAAACUCUGGUGGAGGACCGUAGCGAUUCUGACGUGCAAAUCGAUCGUCAAACGUGAGUAUAGGGGCGAAAGACUAAUCGAACCAUCUAGUAGCUGGUUCCCUCCGAAGUUUCCCUCAGGAUAGCUGGCACUCGGGAAAUGAAACAGUUUUAUCCGGGUAAAGCGAAUGAUUAGAGGUAUUGGGACGAAACUGCUCUCAACCUAUUCUCAAACUUUAAAUGGGUA
rnacentral:rRNA from 1 species